GUCUUGGUAGCUCAGAUGGCAGAGCACUGGGCUUGUGAUCCAGUAGUCGUGAGUUCAAUGCUCACCUAAGGCA